GAGAAAGGAAGACAGCAAGGCUCAUAUUCUUCCUCCUUAUCUGGUGGUCUCUUGGCCGGGUGGCAGAAGUUACUGCACGUCCGUGCAGAGUCAGCAGUUU